UGUGUCGGCUCAGGCACGCGCUGCUCACCAAUGGCCCGCCGAGGAGGGGGACACAUGGGGAUUUCUGACAUAACUCCUCAAACCCUGACCUUGAGGGACACAAUAAAAGAAGCCCUCCAUCGACCCAGACUGUGCACUACGGCUAAGAAAACUUGGAGAGAACCGCUCGCUUCCCGUGGUCCGGAGCGGUGAGCAUGUCCCGUUUGUAAAGAGGCCGGCCUGCGUCCUGCAAGAGCGCUCGGCUGCCGGCGCAAAAAGGGGGAAAAAACGGAUUUUUUUAAUAAAUUAACUUUUUUCGCAGCACAUCAAACGAGGGGACAAUGGUCAGAAUUAGGGAAAAGACGCAACGUUCAUUGACAAUUUGCGAGAAGGCUGAAGCGAAGAUGCGAUGGCAAGUCCGUAGGAGGUUAAAGACACCGCGUGUCUUAUUUUAUAUUUAUUUACAGGUGACAUUAUUAACUGCAAAUAAACGAUUUCCAGUGGAUCAGAGAAUGACAUCCACUGAGAGAAGUGUAACAGAAGAAUCGAUACAUAGUGUGAAGCUCUUUGGCUUUGCUCUAUGGGACGGACUGUUUCUAAUAGGCUACAUUGACUUUUGGUAUGAUCCAGUUAAUUAGGAAACGACCAAAAAUGAGGUUUCCAGAAUUCACAGGCCUCAUGAAAGCCACCAUCAGGACUCACCCCUGAGAUCUUAAUAGUGCAUGUCGCAGUAACUCUGAGGAUGACAGCUCAGCAGUCCCCGUAUUGUCAUGGAAACCAAGACCGAUGUAGAGUAAAAUCACGUGGCGGUCACCAGACUGGACUCUGAUUGUGUUGAAAGGAAAUAUGUAAAGCCAUGUUGUUCAGGCCCCUUCCAGGAUUAUGGACCUUGACGCCAUUCUGUCCACAAAAUUAUACACACUAGUUUCACCUGCUUGUGUGUACAUAUGCACAUGUACACCAAUCUGCUGUAUCCUUUAAAAGGCCGCUAUUACACUAGUGAAUUUCUGAGUGCAUGUGUGGCACAAAUAUGGGGGUAAUACAUGGUUCAGAGGAUUAGGACACUGCCUGUGAUUGGAAGGUCACUGGUUCCAAUCCCAGGGUGAGCAGAACGGGUUCAUCACUGGGUCCUUGAACAAGGCCCUUAACCCCAGAUUGUUCUAGGUUUUGGCUGACCCUGCUUUCUCAAAAAUGUGCACCGCUUUGGAUAAAAGUGUCAGCUAAGUAAAUAAAUUUAAAAAUACAACAACAAUAGAACAACAGUUAUAGGUCGGCCGACGGAAGAGGAGUCAUUUUAUUUUAGAUCUACGAUUAGAAGUCGUACUUGUACAUAGAUGUUGGAAGUUUACAUUCGUUGUUCACGGACUGCCCGGGAUUGUUGUCACGCUGCUUUGCUGGCACGCAUCACCAGAACGGAAGGGGACAUUAGCGGUGACUCACAUCAUUCUUAAAGAGCGGGAUGCCAAGAAGUCUCCUCGGGCCAGCGGUACCCGACACGAGUGGCGAGCGCGUGUGUCUCGCGGGGAGGUAUGCCGUCAUCGUGCGCGCGGCGUGUGUCCGCGCACGUGUGCCGCACGUGCGUCUGAUCCCAGCGGAAAGAUCCGGCUCGAGGUGCAGACGGUGUCUGGGGAGGCAGAUGGUGACAAGUGUCUCUUAAGAGCGGCGACGCCGGCUGUUUGGCCGCUAUUAAAAAUAACCGCCGGCUCUGCCCCAACCUCUUUGUUUCAGGCGACUGCAUUUUACAUGACGACAUUGGCGAAAUAUCUGGCUGCGCAGCGCGGGGUCGCGUUUCACAAAGGGCUUCGGUAUUAAAUGGCAGGCAAACCCACCUUAUUUAGAGUCACCAGCACAGAUCGCGGUUAGAGGCCCAGCACGUAAGCACCAGGCAGUCGGCAACAAUCGAAAGCGUGACGGUGAUACACACCGAGCAACUUCCAGUGUGAGAAAUCGCCCUCCUAAACAAUAUCGAAAAACGGUUCUUUCGAUAACCUGUAACCUUCAUAUAUUGAAGUGAACCUUGCUUCCUGGAAUUUCACAAUGAACCAAAUAAAAGUGAGCCUUACACUGAAAUCUUUCAAAUACA